GAGCUACAUUCAUACCUAAACCAAGUGUGGUCAGCCCACAAGGGAGGGGUAAGGAAGAUGAAUUACAACCUCUCACCAACUACUAUAUAUCCUUGGAAGGUCUGAGUCCAUGGUAGCUGGUUUCAUUGUUUCUGGGCAGUGUGUCAUAGUACAACUUUGUGA